rnacentral:ncRNA from 2 species
GCCCGUCGUGCAGGAGAGUGUCGAUGCCCGCAAUGGGCCGGCCGCCGAAGGCGCAAGCGCACCCGCAAUCGCUCAGGCAAAAGGACUGUACGACCGCU